rnacentral:rRNA from 1 species
UACGUAGGUGGCAAGCGUUGUCCGGAUUUACUGGGCGUAAAGAGCGCGCAGGCGGUUGAUUAAGUCGAAUGUGAAAGCCCCCGGCUCAACUGGGGAGGGUCAUUCGAUACUGAUCGACUUGAAGGCAGGAGAGGGAAGUGGAAUUCCUAGUGUAGGAGUGAAAUCCGUAGAUAUUAGGAGGAACACCGGUGGCGAAGGCGGCUACCUGGACCGAUAUUGACGCUGAGACGCGAAAGCGUGGGGAGCAAACAGG